CUUCCUCGAGUAUUCCCAUUCGAGUAUCACAAUUCUGUCUUUCUCAUUAAUGAGAGAAGUUGAAAACGUUGCUUCCUGUGACCAAAAUGGCUUUCUUUCCCAAGGGCUGAUGGCGGAGGCGGCGACGGCGCAGCUGAGCGGGCGGCCAGCAGGGGGCGCGGCCCCGCCGUCCUCACAUCCAUCCGGGACACGGAGGGGCGGGGCGCCCCUUACACAGCCUGCGAGGGGCGACCCGGGAGAAGGUUUUCCAAACAAGCGGCUUUGCUGACUCCCGGGGCCUAAGAAUAACCACUGCUGGAAGCCAUUUGGGCAGAGGCAGAAUCUGGGCUCAGAGUCUAGCCCUGCAGGAUCCAGUGUGGCAGCUGCGUGUCUCUGGAGCACUGGAAAGGAGGCCACUGCAAAUUAGGAUCUGCUGUAAAGAGCAUCUUCCUGGUUAUUCUCUGGGACGCAAAAGCAUGGUGGUAUCUGAUCUCAUCACACUUCUGCCAGGAGGUGAAAUCGAAGAGCAUACAGGUCAUUUGCCUGAGGACACCUGGGGAUUCUGAGGUUGCCUGUCUUUAUUGCCCAUGCCCUGGUGCCUGAGGCCUGUGAGUCAGCUGUGCUCGGUCUGGCAAGCAUCCAUGGAGGACCCGCCAUGCGCCGUGCAUCGUGGUGGCGCCAGCUGUCCAAUUUCAUGAAACUCCAUUUUAAUGAAGGAUACUGACAGAUAGAAACCAAAAAUUCCAACCUAAUACGGGAUAUCAUGUUGAGACAAAGACGUCUUUGUGUGCAAGUGACUGAUUGCUGAGAACUCCAACUUCCCUGCUGACUGAGCCUGGUGAGAAUGUGCAAAUAUCCUGAGUCACCAAUUGUGUGAGUUUGAGGCCCCCUCUGUCCUGGAAGUUCAACCAAAUACCCCUUCUGGGCGUCCCUUUACAUGCCCCACACUGGCCCUGGGCAUAGGCCUGGUCUCACAAAUGAAAACUGAUAGGGCAUGGAAUUGCGGCAAGGCAGGCAGAGAGAGGGUGGGGCAUAUAUUGCACUUUUAGUGAGCCUCAUCUAAGAUUUACUGGUCAGGCUUGAAAAAUCUGAGACACUGAAGGUCCCAGCAGCCAAAUGGGUUCCUCAGGGUUAAGUCCCAAGCCAGAGACUUACAUUGUAAUUUGAGGGGAUCACAGCUGUGUUCCUGCCCUGACUUUGUAGCCUCAACUUUCACCCUUGGAGUCAUUGCUUUAUCUAGAACACAGUCUCCUCUAGACUCCUAUUUUUAAACGAUAUUCCUCCUCACCCCCCUCCUAAUCCUGCCCUCACUUCUCAAGAAUGAGAUGACGAAAUUGCAAAUCCUCCCAUAUGAACUCAUUUUCCUGGUCCUUUCCUCAAUCCCAGGAAUAACCCUGGGUAGGAGGAAUGCACCAGGGGGUGCUUACAAGGGGAAGAGCAGAUGGGAAGGCAAGCGAUCUACUGCAAAAUAGGCCGCUUUUCCCCACCAGGAGGGAGCAGUUGAUUACACAUUUUUUGUGUGUGUGGUAUUUGGCCAUGUUACCUGUUAGUACUCUAGGAAGAGAUCUUUGUGUCUUUGGGGUAGGAAAACAACACUUAAUGUCUUGCAAUGGGUAGGCCAACAAAUGGAUAAAAUCAGGCAAUGUCUGUCUCCCUUGCUGCCUCCAGCAGGUGCUGGGGAGAGGGGAGGACAUCAGAGUCAGCUUAGCCUACCUACACGCUUUUGUCUUGAACCUCUUGAGGGUGAAAAUGAUCCCAGUCCUAAACUGGAGGGAAGCAAUACACUCUUCUCUCACCCUGCAGCUUUGUGGGACAGAACACUGCGCUCAGCCUGGAGAGCAGACGGCUGUGAUUGUUCUCUUUGCAGGCAGGCAGUCCUUGCUUGUUUCCAGCUGCAGGACAAAGCUGAUGCAGAAAGAACUAGUCUGGGGAUUGGCUUUUGACCAGGAGUUCUUCACAAACCUUCUAGGCAGAGUGGGGAAGAGUAGAGGUACAGGUCUCAAGGGGAUUGGCCUCCAAAGUGGAGCCCCCCACUACUGCCUCUCACCCUGGAUGGACCUGGAGAUCUAGCAGUCAAGCAUCUCUGGGCCUCAGUUGCCAACUCUGAUAGAUGAUUGAUAGAUAGAUAGAUAGAUAGAUAGAUAGAUAGAUAGAUAGAUAGAUUAGAUAGAUAGAUGAUAGAUAGUGUCUCUCUCAUAGCAUUGUUUUAAGAUUUAAGGGGGUAACUUGUGGAGUGCCUAGUCCAGGCCUGGCAUUCUAAGUUCUUAUCAAUGAAAGCUGCCAUAAGUGUAGUAUUUCUGGGCUGGCUAUUGGGCAGCAGAUGUGUACUCUUUCCCAAACUCAAAGGUUUCUGAAAUGUCCCAUGACUUCAUUACUUUUAAAAAACGAUAUGAAGUCCAACUCCCAGCCCCUGUUCUAUCAGGCUUCAGGAAACUCCAUCUCAGUUAUUAUUCCAAAUCUUCCACCCUCCAGGUUUCCCAGGCUGCCAGACACUGGGAGCUCCACUAUUGUUGACUCAGGGGACUAGUGUAUGGGCCUUGUCCAGGCUCACCUUGUCGGGUGAGCACCUGAAACCUGAACCUCUGUGCCUCUCAGGGUGCCGGACUCUCAUACCUGGCUCUCAUGCCUGGUGUCUGCCUUCCUUAGCCCACCUUGAAGCUCUCUGUUCCUCCUCCAUUUGCAACUCCCCAGAACCCACAUGACUUCAGGGAUCUACAAGGAGGUAUCUCUAGGACCCAUCGUUCACCAACCUGCAGAUCUCCCGCUGCUUGAAGAAACCCUGUUCCUCCUAUUCUCAACCAACCACAGUAAGGCACCGCAUGCUCCAGCCCCCAGAGCCCCAAGCAUCUGCUCCUUAGCUUGUGAGGAUUGGAUUUGAUCGACUUCUGUCUUCAUUUUUGAGCCAAUUCCUCUUCAUAACCUUUGCUGUUCAUCACAAAGAAGGUCAUCAAAGGCUAAAUAAAGAUUUCUACCAUAAAAAUCAGUCAUAUUUAGUAAUAAUCAUGUAUAUCUUAAGCACUUACCAUGUGUUAGGCACGAAGCUAAAAGUUUGUGUCAUUUACUCCUCAAAAUGAAAUGGAUACUUCUAUUGUCCCAUUUUACAGAAGAAGAAAAGCUCUGGGAAACUAAGCAAAUUUCCUAAGGUCUUAUGCUAGAGUGAGUGGCAUAGCCAGCUUUCAGGGCCAAGUGUCUGAUUCCCAGGUACACUCUUGAUUAGCUACCUCAUCUAUCAUUGGCCCAGUGGAUGGUUUUUCCAGGCUCGACUAACCCAGUUUGAAAACAGAAGGACAUGGAGCUAUGUGAGCAUAGACCACAGUUGUAUUCUUUGCACCUACAGGAAGUAAACAACAUGCCAGUCCAAGUUCUAAUGCAAAUAAAAGCCUGUUUGUUUUCUGAGUCAAUCCUUCAGGCAUUAUCUGUAACAGGUCUGUGGCUCCUCUGCGAAGACUGGGCCUUGAUUGAAUGUGAUGUUGCUGUCAGUCUAGAUUUGUGCUUACAUAUGUGACUGGUCCCCAGACACCAUACAACACUUAAAUGCAGCCCAGUAAUGGUUCCUGACCACUGCACCUCCACUCCAAGAGCACACAGCUGAUGCAGCUGCCAAGCUAUUUCCUAGCCUAAUUACUUUCUUUAUUUUCAUGCCUGGCCAUUGUUAAUGACAUUUGGCCAUCACGCACACAGUAAAUAGAAUUAGGAUGUAUUGGAAAAAAUAUGACUUCUGUAUAGAAAGUUGAGAAUCCAGAAACUGCCAUCUGGAUUUUAUGUCUUCUUGCACAAUAAGACAGCCUCUCAAGGCAGCACAUUUUGGGAGUAGCUUGGCAACAUUCAGCAGCAGCUUGCUUCCUCUUUCUUUAUCCUGCUUGCUCCCAGAUGCUGAGUCCUGCUCUGUAGGUUGAGUGGAGCAGGAGAUGGGUCUAUGGAGGAAAAACCUAAGGCUGUGUCUUCCUUAUUCUCUGGCUCUGACCACUGCCAGUUCGGUACAGUUCUGUCUAUGGUUAUGCUGCCAUACUGCUGCUUUUCCCUCUGAAGUUUUAAUGAAAUCGUCCUAGUAAGUCUGACCCUCUUAUUCUGCAUAGAGCACCCUUUAUUGUUUCAUGUAUUUUUUGAAGGCUAGUAAAGCUUCCUAAGGAAGGCAGGUCAGGAGAUGGUAAACCAAAGCUCUCAUUAAAUGCUAGCCAUUACUACUACUGCUACUGGCAAAAACCCCAAUGUGGAGUUCAUCCUUUCUCUGUCUCUUACAUCCUUCUUGAUGCCUAGAAGAGUGCUGGGUAUGCAAUAGAUAUUCCUUCAUAGAUUCUUGGUGGCCUGGCUUUAUGCUUCCAAUUUACUACCUAUAAAAUAUCCAUCAGUGUUUUCCAAGCUUCAGUCAUUUCCCCAUUAUCUUUGCAGAUUGAUUACUAUCUGUACAAUUAUUUUUUCAUUAUACUUUUUAUUUUAUUUUACUUUUUUUAGACGGAGUCUGACUUUGUCACCCAGGCUGGAGU